rnacentral:lncRNA from 1 species
AGGCUUUCGGAGAAGCCACCGCCCACAUGUGCUGUCUUGCUUCCUUAUUGGUGUUCAGCAGAAGGGGGCUGGUCCUCUCUGGAAAGCUGGGUGCUAUAACAGAUGAAACAUUUAUGCAAGAAAAUAAAUCCUGCCCCUUUGAUAUACUGCUUGAAACUCUUUGGACGUGAAAUUGUAAGGACUAAGCUACCUCACCUGAUUCCAGGUAUUCUCAUGAAGUCUGUGUCCUGCACCACAUUACUGAUUAGCUGCACAUAGUUUAGAAAACCUGUAUUUGAGCUGCUGUAAAACAGGAUAGACAACAAUGAACAAUAUGCAUUCUCUGAAAUAACGUGAUGGCCA